rnacentral:tRNA from 1 species
GCCUGGGUGGCUCGGUCAAGCAUCUGACUUCAGCUCAGGUCAUGAUCUCACCAUGUGUGGGUUCAAAUCCCACCUUGGGCU